rnacentral:rRNA from 1 species
GAUGAACGCUGGCGGCGUGCCUAAUACAUGCAAGUCGAGCGAACGGACGAGAAGCUUGCUUUUCUGAUGUUAGCGGCGGACGGGUGAGUAACACGUGGAUAACCUACCUAUAAGACUGGGGUAACUUCGGGAAACCGGAGCUAAUAUCGGAUAAUAUUUUGAACCGCAUGGUUCAAAAGUGAAAGACGGUCUUGCUGUCACUUAUAGAUGGAUCCGCGCUGCAUUAGCUAGUUGGUAAGGUAACGGCUUACCAAGGCAACGAUGCAUAGCCGACCUGAGAGGGUGAUCGGCCACACUGGAACUGAGACACGGUCCAGACUCCUACGGGAGGCAGCAGUAGGGAAUCUUCCGCAAUGGGCGGAAGCCUGACGGAGCAACGCCGCGUGAGUGAUGAAGGUCUUCGGAUCGUAAAACUCUGUUAUUAGGGAAGAACAUAUGUGUAAGUAACUGUGCACAUCUUGACGGUACCUAAUCAGAAAGCCACGGCUAACUACGUG